rnacentral:sRNA from 1 species
AAAUUUAAUACAUAUAAUUCAAAUAGUUCAAAUUUUUGUUGUUUUAAGAUUUAAUGAAUAUUGUAGGUGAGAUAAAAAGAAGAUAAUUUAUUAUGUUUUGCGUGACAUAUGGGAUUGCCAUAUAUUUUAAAUCUUUUUGGUUUGUUACACAAUUAAUUGCCGUAAAAAAUCAAACCAUUAAUUAAAAAAAUCAAAUAAUUAAAAUUUAGUGGCAGCCAUUGUAAAUAAGUCACAACUCCAUGAUUUAUUUCACAAAAUAUAUGCAAAAAUGUAUAUGUAGAUUUAUGAAUUUAAGUGAAAAUUGUGCAUAAUUAUAAUGCUUACUAUGUCUCUAUACAUAAUCUUUAACUCUAUUUAGUCAGUGUGCACAUAAUUUUUGCUUAUUAGAAAGGUUUCUUUUGGAAGGACUACAACUCUCAAGUCCCUCAACAACCAAUAAUGGGGAAAGAAGCUUAAUUCUUGGGUCACAAAGCAUAUGCCUUUUGGGAAGGAGUUUAAAAACAUACUUAUCUGAGUUUCUGGUCGUUACAAGAAUGAAAAAAUAUGGGUAGCUCGAGAUCUGUGAUUAUGCGUUUACUCACAUAGAAAUAACAUUCAUUUCACUGUUGCAUUGAUCUAUAAAAAAAAUGCUGGUAGAACAAAACGUUGUACGAAAUUAGUAGUGUAUAACUUCCUCCACUUCUCCAAACACCAAAUCUUGGAUCAUUCUUAGAGAUUUUAAUCAAAUCAUCACUUUCAGAAGACUAUUUCUCGGUGAGAAAUGAUUCUACCCCUUCAAGGUAUGAUUGUAUAGCUUACAUGCUUGUUAAUCAACAAAUGGAUUUAUUUUUUACUGACAUUGAUUUUUUCCAUACUAAAAUCGACAAUCAAGGACUUAACCUGUUAAGAGAAAGCUUCUUAGAUAACUAUUCACAUAACUGUAUAAUAUUCUGUUUUUCAAAAUUGCAUGUAAAGUAAAACAAAUAACAUAUAUUGUAUUCUUUGUUUCAUAUAUAACUGACUAAUUAAGGAGUUCAAUUCACUUUGAAAAAUGACAAAGAAAUAAACUAGCAUUUUAACUUGUUGAAUAGCCAAACAAAAUGCUUUUGGCUUAUGAUUUUAGAGAAUAGACAGUGAAAUACAAGUAUUGCUCAAACCCAAAAGUAUGUAUUUUCUCUGAUUUUUGUAGUGCUUACAAUUAAUGAUAAUGUUACAAGUACUAGACUUUACAAAUCUAAGAGACACAAGGGAAGUUUUAGCAUUUUUGAUCGAUUCAAUUGAAGUACACGGAUAUGCAGGUACAUAUUAUGUGUAUAAUGUAAGAAUAGUCUUUGUUGUUGAGUUGCACACAAAAAAAAAAGUCUUGGUUGUUGACUUUCAGAAAGAAAGUAAAGUUAAUAAUUGAUAUUUUUUAAAGAGUUGAUCAUCCGUAGGAGAAAUAAUUAGUGGUAAUUUAAAAAUAUCUCUUAUUAUUUACAUUAGGAAACCAUACUUUGAUUAUCCUUAGACAUGUCUUUAUAAAACUCGCAUGUUAGAUCAGCUUACAAUUGUUUAGUAUACAACUCUUCAGAACAAAGAGACUCUUGUAUUGUGACAUUUAAACAAAAAUACUUGAUUUUUGGAAUGAUUACCGUCUCAAAAUAGUUAGAUAAUUUUUUUGCUAAAAUGAUUGCUAAGACUUUAAAAUAAAAUAAACAUAAACUAGAGAAGUGAAACUGUAGUUUUAU